ACGAACGCUGGCGGCGUGCUUAACACAUGCAAGUCGAACGAGACGAUUGAAAGCUUGCUUUGAAAGUCGAGUGGCAAACGGGUGAGUAACGCGUAGACAACCUGCCGCAAAGAUGGGGACAACAGUCCGAAAGGACUGCUAAUACCGAAUGUUGUAUCGUUUCCGCAUGGAGAUGAUAUUAAAGAUGGCCUCUACUUGUAAGCUAUCGCUUCGCGAUGGGUCUGCGUCUGAUUAGCUAGUUGGUGGGGUAACGGCCUACCAAGGCGACGAUCAGUAGCCGGUCUGAGAGGAUGAACGGCCACAUUGGAACUGAGACACGGUCCAGACUCCUACGGGAGGCAGCAGUGGGGAAUCUUCCGCAAUGGGCGAAAGCCUGACGGAGCAACGCCGCGUGAAGUGAAGAAGGGUCUCGACUCGUAAAGCUCUGUUGACGGGGACGAAUGUACGGAAUGCGAAUAGUUUUCCGUAAUGACGGUACCCGUCGAGGAAGCCACGGCUAACUACGUGCCAGCAGCGGC
rnacentral:rRNA from 1 species